UAGGGAAUCUUCGGCAAUGGGGGGAACCCUGACCGAGCAACGCCGCGUGAGUGAAGAAGGUUUUCGGAUCGUAAAGCUCUGUUGUUAAGGAAGAACGAGUGUGAGAAUGGAAAGUUCAUACUGUGACGGUACUUAACCAGAAAGGGACGGCUAACUACGUGCCAGCAGCCGCGGUAAUACGUAGGUCCCGAGCGUUGUUCGGAUUUAUUGGGCGUAAAGCGAGCGCAGGCGGUUAGAUAAGUCUGAAGUUAAAGGCAGUGGCUCAACCAUUGUAGGCUUUGGAAACUGUUUAACUUGAGUGCAGAAGGGGAGAGUGGAAUUCCAUGUGUAGCGGUGAAAUGCGUAGAUAUAUGGAGGAACACCGGUGGCGAAAGCGGCUCUCUGGUCUGUAACUGACGCUGAGGCUCGAAAGCGUGGGGAGCGAACAGG
rnacentral:rRNA from 1 species